AGAACGAACGCUGGCGGCAGGCUUAACACAUGCAAGUCGAGCGCCCCGCAAGGGGAGCGGCAGACGGGUGAGUAACGCGUGGGAACAUACCCUCCGGUUCGGAAUAGCUCAGGGAAACUUGGAUUAAUACCGGAUACGGCCUAGCGGCGAAAGAUUCAUCGCCGGAGGAUUGGCCCGCGUUCGAUUAGCUAGUUGGUGAGGUAACGGCUCACCAAGGCGACGAUCGAUAGCUGGUCUGAGAGGAUGAUCAGCCACAUUGGGACUGAGACACGGCCCAAACUCCUACGGGAGGCAGCAGUGGGGAAUAUUGGACAAUGGGCGCAAGCCUGAUCCAGCCAUGCCGCGUGAGUGAUGACGGCCUUAGGGUUGUAAAGCUCUUUCGCUAGGGACGAUAAUGACGGUACCGGAGAAGAAGCUGCGGCUAACUACGUGCCAGCAGCCGC
rnacentral:rRNA from 1 species